CGGUGGGCACUAGUUGUGGGAACCUUCCACGGUUUCUGCGACGCAGCUAACGCAUUAAGUGCCCCGCCUGGGGAGUACGAUCGCAAGAUUAAAACUCAAAGGAAUUGACGGGGCCCCGCACAAGCAGCGGAGCAUGCGGCUUAAUUCGACGCAACGCGAAGAACCUUACCAAGGCUUGACAUAUAGGGAAAAGUGGCAGAGAUGUCAUGUCCGCAAGGGCUCUAUACAGGUGGUGCAUGGUUGUCGUCAGCUCGUGUCGUGAGAUGUUGGGUUAAGUCCCGCAACGAGCGCAACCCUCGUUCUGUGUUGCCAGCAUUUAGUUGGGGACUCACAGGAGACUGCCGGGGUUAACUCGGAGGAAGGUGGGGAUGACGUCAAAUCAUCAUGCCCCUUAUGUCUUGGGCUGCACGCAUGCUACAAUGGCCGGUACAGAGGGCUGCAAUACCGUAAGGUGGAGCGAAUCCCAAAAAGCCGGUCUCAGUUCGGAUUGAGGUCUGCAACUCGACCUCAUGAAGUUGGAGUUGCUAGUAAUCGUAGAUCAGCAACGCUACGGUGAAUACGUUCCCGGGGCUUGUACACACCGCCCGUCACGUCACGAAAGUCGGUAACACCCAAAGUCAGUG
rnacentral:rRNA from 1 species